rnacentral:misc_RNA from 1 species
CCGCCCCGUCACGAUCCUGCUCAUCUCGGCUCCUUGUGGCCUUCCUCUUUCCCCGCGCUCUGCCCAUCACCACCACCACCACCAGACACUGUAUACAGUCAAACAUCCGAACAGGUGAUAUUGUUUGUAAGCAUGAGUUAGCAGCGCUCGCGGUACCUGUAUCUACGCACGUCUCCCACCCCCGUUCCCUGGUCAACUUCUCUCUCCCUCUCUGCUUUCUAUUUUCCCUUGCUUAUUAUCUUCGCUUUCUUGGGGGAGGGAGAGGGUGAGGUCGCUGGUGGUGUGCGUUUUGUCUGGUCGCCUCCGUCCUCCAGCCCACCUCCUUUUCCUUCGCUCCACGCGCCAUCAUUGGUCACUCAUCAUGAUGCAGGACACUGCUUCACCCUUUCCCCACCACCGUACGCCGGCGACGUACCAGGCCGGCUUGCAUUAUCAGGCCAACGGACGCGAAAGCGCGGCGCCGCUGCUUACCUCGUCGGCUGGAAAUGCUGCCAACGGUAAGCGGCUCAGUCACUGGGGCCGCAACGUUUUGCGUGGCUUUUACCAUGUCAAAUGGCAUCAGCGCACGCAGUGUGCCGUUGUAGCGUGCUUGCUGUGGUUCUUCAUCCUUUUUGUGCUCCUGCACACUUUUCUUCAGGUGUCGGGUCUGACGCAGUCGAUUUAUGCGGUUUUCUCGAGGCCGACUUCCGGGCUGCAAACACUCCUGGAGGACGAGCUCGUUAUACCUAGCCCUGUUGUGCCACCGAAUGGAGCAUUUUGUGGUCUGUGUACAGAGGGCCUCGUUGUCUUCCGUCCAGCUAGUGCCGCCACAUCCCUGGCUACGACGCCUGCCCAGACCGAGAUGGUAGUGUGCGUGGAAACGAUGGAGGAAGCCUGGUUGUCAGCGAGCGAGUCGGAGCCUCUCAGCACUGUACGAGACUGUGUAGCAAGGCUCUAUAACCUGGGUCUCCUGCAGCCUCCUCGUACUACCAUAACCGCGGUGAAUGACACGUGUGCAGCAGUGCGCGUGACAGUGCAGGUGCUCUCAGGCGAGUCAGAAGAGGCAGAUCGGAACAAGUGCAGCAGCGGGUUCGUGGCGGAGCUGCAGAUUUCAUCGACAGAACGGGAGAAGGUGGAGGUGCACACUCAGCGGUUCCCGUCGUGGCCGCUCUGCCCUGUCGCCUCACCGGAGGCUAUUGAUGCUAAGGAUGGACACCGAGGUGGCAGUGACGGUAAUCAUUACAUCGUGCCCGCGUACUUUGCGACAGCAGCUGUUCGAGACACAGACGCAGACUGCGAUGUCCCACCGCCGUGGAGAAUUGACACUAUCGAGGACCUUGAUGAGGUGGUACUGCGUUUCGCCGGGGACGCGGCUCAGACCACAGAGACAUCGUCGCUGCUGGCGAGUGACCUGCGCUGCCCGACCUACUUCCUCACGGCAAACCUUGGCCGCUUUGGCCGCCAUCACAAUCAGCUGCAGGAGAUCUUGAACGGCAUCUCGCUGGCCAGGAGAUCGAACCGCACGUUUAUUUUGCCACCCUUUGUGCCGGCGCUGUACAUGUCGUACUUGAGGCUAAAUCCAGAGCUUCUGUACGGAUGGAAUGCGCUACGCGGAAACGGCCACUACUGUGUUCUGUCGUACGCCGAGGCGCGGCCAAUACUGCGGCGUCUGCGUGAGCGCGAUGGGGUAGUGAGUAUGGAACGGGUCAGUUUUGCAGCCACUGCAGACCUGCACGUGCUGUUCAACACCACAGAAGAGCACGACAGUUAUGCAUGGGGGUCCAUGCCUCGCGUGCCGGGCACGGAUGGCGCGUUUGUGUACGAUGCGGAUGAAUGGUUCUCGAUGGGGGUGCGGCGAAGGGAGGAGAUGACAGCGCACACCGCAAGCAAUACCUCAUCAGUGCCAUCGCCGCUAACGUUCCACGAGGCAAGGCCGCCUAGUGCGGAGGAGUGUAGCGGCUUCGCCGGCCCCGCUCUGAACAAGAACUCAACGCAGUGGGAAAGGAUUCGGAGGUGCACCACUGCGUUUCUGCGCACCUACGGCGAUGGUGACGGGAGACGCGAGUCGUCGUUAGCCUCACGGCGACAGCCACGCAUUGUGGUGAUUUCGAGCGUCACAGCGUUUCAUCUGCGGCCGACGCUGACGGAAAUGACCAGGCUGCUUGGCCUCCUGCGGCCGUCACCGACACUCACGGUGGAGAUUGGCCGGUACUACCGACUCUAUGCGACGCAGCUCCAGUGGCCAGCCAACACCGAUCCGAAGCGCUCUUUUUCAAACGUGCUGCAGCCAUUUCGUUACAAGAGCACCAUUGGUGUGCACGUACGCCGUCGCGAGUUUACGUGUCGCGAGGAGGCCGAGCACCCCAGCGCCACCAUCAUCGCUAUGUCGGAGGCGCGCUACCAGUUUGACGGCACAGGUAAAAACGAUAGCGCCGCUGCUGGGCGCCCCAUCACCACCGUAGCGCGACUGGCGAGCGACUGCGGAUGGAAUUCGCAGUCGCUACUGCACAUCUACGACACCUAUGCGAGCUGGAUGCGAUCGCGACAGGCGCAGGGGCUGAGGCGGUCGCGUUGCUUCGCGCAUGUGCAGACUUCAAACAAACAGGUGCUGCGGAGCUACGUCGCCUUUGACGAGCAAGUCGGCCCCAUUGGCUCUCAGCUGCAAGCUGCACUGCAGCAGCGCUACAACCCACUAAAGAAGAAGCGCGCCGCCAAUGGAUAUCCACCCAUCUAUGCCGCAUUCUACGACCACCGGCCCCGCAAAGACCUUUUCCAGACUUACCAAGAAAUCCUGGCAAGAUGGGAGCAUUCAUCCGCAGACACGCAACGCGCCGACGGGGAAGCCGUCUUCGACGUCGCUUCUGUACCGCGGACAACGGACAGUCUUGUUGAGAUGUUGUACCCCAUCGCGGAGCAGGAGGCGCUGGCCCUGGGGAUCGACUUCUUUGUGCUCGGUAACACAGGCGUGUUCCGCGGCAAUAUUAUUUCGUCCGUGUCGAUCAACGUGUGCUUGCGCCGCUUGGGCAGAGGGCUGCCGUGUCACGGCGUCCUCGCUGGGUACUACGAAAUGCUGUACAAGGGUUACAUGUGAGCUUCUCGACACAGCCUCAAGCCCUCACCUCCCCGUCACCCUACUCCCACACCUCCACUUACGGCGACUGGUUGGGACCGCAUUCCACCAUCCCCACUGGGCGGCAUCGGCCCCUCUUUGAAGAUGCCGUUGGUGCAAGAAUUUUUCGUUUUCUCUCCCCUUCCCACCGCCACCCGUGAGCACUUUCUUAUUUGAAGCCCUGCCUACUGAAUCCCCUCCUGGGCACACGCGCAGCGCUCUGUUGUGCAUGUCGUGCGCCCGCUUCAGGCAACUAGCUGCUCUGGCAGCUAUUUGUUUUUUUUUUCUGCCUUCUCUUGGUUCUCGUAACAGAGCGACUUAGCCCAUUUUGGCUUUUUAUUCUGCUCUCGUGCCCUCGUGCUUCCUUUCCACUCGUACUGCUGGCAUCGAUCAUGUGCUAAUGCUUUAUUUCAUGCUACCGUUUGUGCCUGUGUACCGCCGCAUAUACGUAGGUGGCGCGCGUGCGCAAGUGUGUUCAAGGAGAGCAAC